GUCUGUUUGUCGUAACUAUGGAGGGCUGGGUUGGUAGAAGUAUGGCUGGUGGUGUGACCCUCGUUUGUCCUCUGCAGGGCGCUUUUCUGUCCUUUCUUUGGGGGGCCGGUGGGGUUGUUGUACCCUCCUGGGGGUUCGGUGAAUUGUUGACGUUGCUGCCGAACUCCUCCAGCUUUCCUACGCGUCCUUCGAUGCAUGGUACGGGCAAGGGUGAAUGUGGAAUUGGCUUUCCGGCUGCUUCCGGUGCACCCGGAUGGUCACCGUCUCCUGGGUUGUACCUUUAACGGUCAGUUUUCUGUGGAUAUGUGCCUCCGUAGGGGUGGCUUCCUAUCCUGUUUGUUUCGAGAGCUUUAGCACUUUCCUGGAAUGGGUGGUGCGUAGGGAGGUGGGGGUCGGUCCCCUUCUGCACUGCCUGGACGGCUUCUUGUGUGUAGGGCCAGCAGAGUCGCAUUUCUGCGCUCUGCUGCUGUGGGUUCUGGGGGACAUUUUUCGGUGUUCCGUUGGCACGUGAGGACACCGUGGGUUCGGUUACCUGCCUUAGUUUCCUGGGCAUCGGGCUAGAUUCCGUGGCUGGGGACUGUCGGUUGCCCCUGACUAGGGUUCAUGAACUCCGGUGGAAGGUGUCGCUGGCUUUGGGGCGACAUGUGAUUCAGCUGCGCUGCCAGCAGUCCCUCCUAGGUAAGCUGGAGUUUUGUCUGUCGGAUUUGACCAUGGGGCUGUCUGGGAUUCCUUCUUGGCCUCCUAUAUUGGUAGAAUGUACUGGCAGGCCCUGGAGGUCUCUAACACUGACUUCCGCCUGUUUGCCGCUGCAGCAGGCUCGGGAGGUUUUGGGGCCAUUUUGGCUCUCAAUGGUGGGGCUGACUCUUGGCCAGUAGGUGUCAUUGGAGGUGUGGGGUUCCCACCUUACGGACAGGUGGGUAAUUUUUCCAUUGCGAC